CAGAGCGAGCGCGUUUUACAGAAUUGGGCCGACGUGUGUAGAACUAGAGGUUUACGAUGGCGCUACUCAGGCAAAUUUUCGGAAGGGUGACUUCCAAGUCAUUGCAGGAAUUGUCUGCCAAGAAAACACCUGUAAUAACGAAUGGAUCGAGAAGGUUGGCUUCUGCAUUUACAUUUGUCCCUGAUGCAGCCUCUCCAUCGGAUGGGGAAACCACAAAGAUGAAUCUAUUUCAGGCUCUCAAUAAUGCUAUGGAUGUAGCCUUGACAACAGACCCUACUGCAGUUGUAUUUGGUGAAGAUGUUGCUUUUGGUGGUGUUUUCAGAUGUACUGUUGGGUUGGCAGAUAAACAUGGUAAAGACAGGGUAUUCAACACACCACUCUGUGAACAAGGGAUCGUCGGCUUUGGCAUCGGUAUGGCCUCGGUGGGAGCAACCGCUAUCGCUGAAAUACAGUUUGCUGAUUAUAUCUUCCCAGCCUUUGAUCAAAUUGUUAAUGAAGCUGCAAAGUUCCGGUAUAGGUCAGGCAAUAUGUUUGACGUCGGUGCUCUCACCAUCCGAGCGCCAUGGGGAGCGGUUGGUCACGGCGCCCUCUAUCACUCACAGAGUCCAGAAGCCUUCUUUGCACAUAUUCCAGGAAUCAAAGUUGUAGUUCCACGUAGUCCCAUCCAAGCCAAGGGUCUAUUAUUAUCCUGUAUACGAGAUCCCAACCCGUGUGUCUUCUUUGAACCCAAGGUACUCUACCGUGCAGCUGUUGAGCAAGUACCAGUCAAAGAUUACAUGGUUCCCUUGUCAAAAGCAGAAGUACUGCAAGAAGGCAGUGAUGUGACACUGGUAGGAUGGGGUACCCAGAUCCAUGUUCUGAGAGAGGUUGCCCAGCUAGCCCAAGAGAAGCUAGGAGUCAGCUGUGAGCUUAUUGACCUGGUUACCAUCUUACCAUGGGACAGAGAAACUAUAUUUAAGGUGAAUAUGGCCUUCCCGUUUCCUAUUUGAAUUUGUUUCGUCUCGCUCCCUUCUUUCAAAUCCAUCCAAGAGACUUCAAUUUUCCUGCUUGACUUUGAAUUUCUCCAACUCUAGCUGUAUUUCUCCUCUCUUAUCCCACCCUGUCAAAACUGUAUCUGCAUCAGCUGAUAUCACCUGAUUGUUACUACUAACCCUGAGAGUAGUCUCUGGUCAGGUCACAAGAAUUAUUGUGCUUUGUGCUGGUGAUGUCGUCUAUCUAAUGUGUUCUCUCCAACUGGGCAUGGUGACUUUGUGGUAGAACGCUCGCCUCAUGAACGGAAGGUCAUGGGUUCGAUCCCUGACCGAGUUAUACUAAAGACAUUAUUCCUAUGUGUUUAAGAUCGCAUGCUCGAUCAGAAAAAAUUGGAACCAGUGGGAUUUGAACCUGCCAUCUACUGCUUGCCAGGCAGCGACUCAACCACCAGGCUAUUCUGGUUUAAGGCUAAGUCACGAUGAACUGGAUUACAAAUACCCUCGAUCCUCUACUUUCUGACUCAUUAAUAUGCAAAUGCAGUCCACCGUGGACAAUAGAUAGUAAAUAAAUAAAUAGGCUUUUGUAAACAAAAUUUCGGCAUUAGAGAUCGAGCAUGCGAUCUUAAACACAUGGGAGUAAUGCCGAAAAUUUGUUUACAAAUUAUAAUUUCUCCUAUUAAAGCCUUAUUAUUUAUUUAUUUAUACUAAAGACUUAUGAAAAUGGGACCUCUGCCUUCUUGCUAUUCGCUCAGCAUUCAGAUCGGAGAAGGGUAGUAUUUUAUGCAGGGCCCACUGGUAGAGCCGUUUUUGUCUCGCCUGCAUAGCAGAGUGGACGUCGGCAGCAGCAGCGUCAACAUCAAAUCUUAACCUAAGGUUAAGUUUUUGAAAUGUCAUCAUAACUUAGAAAGUAUAUGGACCUAGUUCAUGAAACUUGGCCAUAAGGGUAAUCAAAUAUUACUGAACAUCCUGCCUGAUUUUCAGGUCACAUGACCAAGGUCAAAGGUCAUUUAGGGUCAAUGAACUUUGGCCAAGUUGGGGUAUUUGUUGAAUUACCAUCAUAACUCUGAAAAUAUAUUGGUCUAGUUCAUAAAACCUGGACACAAGAGUUAUCAAGUAUCACUUUGUGUGAGUUUCAGGUCACAUGACUAAGGUCAAAGGUCAUUUGAGGUAAGUGAACUUUGGCCAUGGAGGUUUUUAUUAAAUUGCUGUCAAAACUUUCAAAGUUUAUGGAUAUAGUUAAUGAAUUGUUGACAUACAAAGGGGUAAUCAAGUAUCACUGACAAGUCUUAGGUCACAUGAUCAAGGUCAAAUGUCAUUUAGGGUCAAUGAACGUAGUAUUUUAUCAUUAUAAGAAUGGUGUUUUUUGUGAAUACGUAUACAUGUAGUUUUGAAAGUCAGCACUGCUGCCAUAUUGAAUCGCGUAAUGCAGGUGAGACUGCCAGAGGCGCUCCACUUUCUAAAUGAAGUGACCACCCUCAGUUAAUAAAGAUGAAAUAUUAUUGUCUUUUCUUUUUGCCACAGUCUCCCGUGUGCUUGGAGUAUCCAUGGUAUUGUCUCGCUUAAAAGGUGCUUUGGGUUUGUGUCUUUACCAUUCCCAUCUAUCUGUCACCCAUUCCUUUUGCAAACUUGUACGGAACCUCAACAAAAGUCCUUCCCACAUGCAAGAUUUCAAAUUACCCUAAUUGACUUUUUGAAUAUUAAACUAGCACAAGUUCAAUGAGGAUAAGGGUGUGUUUCCACAACGAUAAUCCUAAUUAUUCAGUGAUAAUCUACAAGGUAUAACGUAUCCAGGGAGUCAUGUGAACAUGACUCACAAUGAGAUCAGAUUGAGGUCAGGUCAGGUGAUAUCCUUACGGCAUCCCUCAAUGUGAUUUUGACAUUGUUUACGUUUCUCGAAGUAGGUUCUCUAUUGUCUUUGUGGUUGCUCUAGGUUUCCUCGCUUUUAUUCGUAUUAUUGUGGGUUUUUUUUAGGGAAUGGAAAUUGAUUGUUUGAUUUUCGUUUGAGUUCUUUCAUUAUUCAUUGACUAGUGGACCUGCAUUUUGAACAUGGCUUACAUAAAUAAAAGGAGUGAAUCACUGCAAUGCACGGAACAUGCGCAAGCACCUAUUACCAGAACAUUGCUAGUCCAUCUAGUGGAAGAUAUUUAGAGAAAUCCAUGUUUUCAUGCACAGUUCAUUUGAUAGGCAUAUGAUAGUUUGGUCCUGCUCAGUUUUUUCUCGCAGUGCUUCACUCCGCCAGCUUUGUAUGCUGUGAAUGCAAAGCUACAUGAAUACAUCUAUCUUGAAAUAAUCUAUUCUGAAGAGUAUUGUAAUCUCGGUUUUAGCUCAAGCUGCCUUCCAGCGCUUAGUGCAUUCAAGGAAUUAAUCCUGCCGGGUACCCAUUCACCUCACCUUGGUUGAGUGCAGCACAAUGUGGGUAAAUUUCUCACUGAAGGGAAAGAAAACACGCUAUGGCUGGGAUUGGAACCCACGACCCUCUAUUAAUUGAAAGACGAGAGUCAGAACCACUAGACCGCAACACCCCAUACUGUAUGUUACAACAAGUCCCUGUCCUGUACUGGUCAAUUUCAUAUUGUGCAUUGCACUGACUAUGAUCAUAUUUAAGUGACUGCCACUUUAAAUAUCAGCCGAUCCUGUGUUAUUUGAUUCCUGCUGUUCAGUUGAUCAGAAUCAAUUUAGAAUCAAAACAACUAAAGAAAUUUGAUUUCAGUUUUCAAUGGAUUAUUCUUUUUAUCCAUAAAUAUGUACAUAUAUAUAUAUCGUUACGGAUUGUGUGCUCUUUCUGUAUGAUUAUAGAUUAUGUAAAUUUUUGACCGAUAAGCAAUAUUCAUACCAACAAUUCCUAGGAGUUUGUAGGGCCUCAAGUCUAUAAACAAGUAUUUCAAAACAAUGUGGGUCUAAUCUCUUGAUAACAGUAAUAGAUAAUUGUUUUAUAAAGGUGAACACAACAUGUACUUGGCAUCAUGCCCAAGAAUGUGAAGGAUCAAGAUUUAGGACAGUCCCCUAUUGAGACGAAGUGAUACAUAUAUACUUGAACUUAGUUUUGUGUAAAAUAUUACUUGCUUUAUUCUGUGCCCUGUGGAGCAUUCAGACACAAAUCUUAAACAAUUAGAAAUGUUCAAGUAAAACUGUAUGUUAUAGUCCUUGUUGGCCUUCAUCCACAGGGCCAAUUAUAAACAUAAAGGUUAGCAAUAAAUUACAAAUAUGAAAGAACCACUCUGAUUGGUUACUGGUCAUUGUCUUGAUCAAAGUGUGCAUGCAACAAUGAUUUUGAUUGGUCAUUGGCAUUAAGCAAUUGAUCUCAAACCUUUUUUGUAGCCCAGAUCAUUUAAAAUAUGACCUCGCCUCGCACAGUUGGGGGGGGGAGGUCUUUGUAUUUGCCCCCC